rnacentral:misc_RNA from 1 species
AAGUCGUAACAAGGUUUCCGUAGGUGAACCUGCGGAAGGAUCAUUAACACGUAUCCACGUAUCAACCAACUGUGCACUUGUUUUCACCCUCCCUGCCGACGACAUGAAUGGGCUCUAUCGAGGAUGCGAGAGUAUGAAUGGGAGUCGCUUCGGCGGCUCGAUCUCGCACCUUCACUAACCUCUUCGGAGGUUGACCAUUGUAGUCGUCGCGUCAGGACACACUGUCUACUCGGCACUCUCACCGUUCAUGGGAGAGUCGAGUGGGCGAACGAACACACACCUAUUCACACCCUUUUUGCUAGUUGACUUUUUUAUGUUGUCGUUCACAUGCGCCGCAAGGCAGUGUGACUGCACACGUUUCUUAAUUGAACGUAAAAUGUACAACUCUUAGCAAUGGAUAUCUUGGUUCUC